rnacentral:rRNA from 1 species
CCUACGGGAGACAGCAGUGGGGAAUAUUGCACAAUGGGGGAAACCCUGAUGCAGCGACGCCGCGUGAGUGAAGAAGUAUUUCGGUAUGUAAAGCUCUAUCAGCAGGGAAGAAAAUGACGGUACUUGAUUAAGAAGUCCCGGCUAACUACGUGCCAGCAGCCGCGGUAAUACGUAGGGGGCAAGCGUUAUCCGGUUUUACUGGGUGUAAAGGGAGCGUAGACGGGAGCACAAGUCUGGGGGGAAAUGCCGGGGCUUAACCCCGGAACUGCUUUUGAAACUGGGCAGCUAGAGUGCAGGAGAGGUAGGUAGAAUUCCUAGUGUAGCGGUGAAAUGCGUAGAGAUUAGGAGGAACACCAGUGGCGAAGGCGGCUUACUGGACUAUAACUGACGUUGAGGCGCGAAAGCGUGGGGAGCAAACAGGAUUAGAUACCCGAGUAGUC